CAUUAAGGAAUUAAAAGUUAUACAAAUAAAUAGGGAAAUAUUCUGUGUUUAUGGGUGGGAAGAAUUAAUAUUAUUAAAAUGCUCACACCACUGAAAGCGAUCUACAGAGUUAAUGUAAUGCCUAUCAAAACUGCAAUGUCAUUUUUCACAGAUCUAGAAAAAUAAUCUUAAAGUGUAUAUGGAACCACAAAAAACCCUGAGUAGCCAAAGCAGUUUUGAGCAGAAAACCAAAACUAGAUGCAUCACACUACCUGACAUCAAAACCUAUUACAAAGCUAUAGUUAUCAAAGCAGCAUGAUAUUGGAAUAAAAAUAGACACAUCCACCAAUGAGCAGAAUAGAAAGCCUAGAAAUAAACUAAUGCAUUUACAGUCAAUUGAUUUUCAACAAUGGUGCCAAGAAUACACAUGGAGAAAGGACAGUCUCUGCAAUAAAUCGUGGUGGAAACAUUGGAUAUCCACAUUCAGAAAAAUGAAAUAGAUCUCAUGCCAUGUAAAAAACCAACUCAAAAUGAAUUAAAGACUUAAACAUAAGAUGUAAACUGUAAAAUUACUAGAAGAAAACAUGGAGAAAAGUCGAUGACAUGGCCUGAGAGAUUUCUUCAGUAUGACCUCAAAAGCACAGACAACAACAGCAAAGAUAAACAAAUGAGAUUACAUCAAACUAAAAAGCUUCUGCAUAGCCAAGGAAACAGUUAAUGGAGUGAAGAGAUAAUCCAUAGAUUGGGAGAAAACAUUUGCAAAUCAAACAUCUGAUAAGGGGCUGAUAUCCAAAAUAUAUAAGGAACUCAACUAAAUAGCAAGAAAACAACCCAACUGAAAAAAGUGGCGAAGGACCUAAACAGGUGUUUCUCAAAAGAAGAUAAAAAUGACCAACAGACAUAUGAAAAAACGCUUAGCAUCAUUGAUUGUCAGGGAAAUGAAAAUCAAACCAAAGGGAGCUAUCACCUCCCACCUGUUGGUAUGGCUAUUGCCAAAAAGAUAAAAGAUAACAAGUGUUGGAGAGAAUGUGGAGGAAAGGGUACCCUUCUACAUUGUUGGUGGGAAUGUAAAUUAAUACAGCCAUUAGGGAAAAAAGAAAAUCUUGGAAGAAGAACACUUCUUUGAUGAAGUUGUCAGAGAGAAAUGGAUGUUCUCCUAAAUGGGAAGCCUUAAUUCUGUGUGUAAUUUAUGAAGCCAUGGAGAAGAGGAGACAGAGUGUGCAAGGGAAUGAAGAAAAGGAACAAGACUAUUUUCAAAUCACCCAUGGCACUACUAGAAAAGUAUUUCAGCAAAAGGACUGGCUGAUUUUAUGAUUCCUGUGUCCACCACAGCCCUCUAAUUUUUACAUAGGUACCCCACAUCUCUCUAGAUUUCAGGAAGACUAUUAUCCUUUGACUUUAGCUUUCUGAUGGGUUCACAAAAAGCCAUUAGUGUGCUGUUGGUCCAGCUUUUUUCUGUUGCAAAUACGAGAGCUACAGUUCUGAGAUGAAACCACAGAAACCCACAUAUUUCCCAGCACUCCAUCCUCACUGUCAAAACUGUCAAGAACGUAAAGGGUCUGAGAUUGUACCCUACUUGCAAGGCAACAAGUUAACCUGGCAUAGUUUCAUGUCUGCUGGUAGAAGCUAUGAGGCUCCUGAUUCAGAGGUUUUGUGACUCAGACUGGCUUCCUUGCUCCUUAGCUUGCAGAUGACCUAUUGUGGAACUUCAUCUUGUGAUCAUGAUUUUUCUCUUUGUACACAACUCUAAGAUUGAGUUGCUCGUUCAUUGCGGUGAGUGGUAAGACACAAACCUUCAAUCUCUAUAUGCCUCAAGUAAGCCUUAAAAGCAAAAUAUGUUCUGCAUAAAGGGGGAAGAAUAAUGAUUUGGAAUCUGUGUAGUGCAGAAAUAGGAUAAUGUUGAACCUGCUCCUCUCCUAGGCCUGUGGUACUUUGGGUGCUGGGAUUAGGCAGUCACUACCAAGGAUUGCUGCAAAAGAAGCAGUGAUAUUGGGUGAAUAAAUAUUUUGGUACAGAAAUGCAAACAAUAGGUGGUUCAUCUCAAACAAAACCCAUAGAUCACCUGUCCAACUUUGUUAGCUUGCUAGGAAGUUAGUUAUAAUUACAAAUACGGUCUAAGACAUAUUUUCUAGUUAUUAACAUAUUCCAUACAAUCUUGAUAGCAUUAUUCCAAAAACCGAGAUCAUAUCAUUAAUUUAAACCUAUUCCAUGCAGUGACUAUUGAGAAAAAGUAAAUAGUAUCUUCUCUUAAUGUAUAGAUAUGUUCUUUUGUACCAUAGAUUAUCUUUACAGUAGUAACCUGGCACUAAUUGAACUUUCAAAAUUGAACUGCUGCUGAUAAAUCUCUUAAAAAGUCUUUUUUAUAUGUAGUAAAAUGUUUAAGAAACACUAAAAAAGUUAGAACAAAAAGAUAAAAUGAGAAACAGAAUAUGAAAUAAAUUAGUAUAAGACCUUGGUAUUAUACCAAGGUUAGGAAGACAGUUCAGUAGAAUUCAAAUUAUUAUUUUAUUGCUGUUCUUUACUUUGGGAAAGGCGUAUGUAUAUGUAAGAAGUUGCAUAUAUAGUGCCAAACAAAUGUCUUCAAAUUUAAGAACAAUGCCCAUGAAAGGAAAAUCAACCUAACAAGAAAGAAAGAAAUAUUAAUAUUUAUAAUGCAAGAAACCUUAAAAGGAAGGGGUUAUGACCUUGUAUAAGAGUAUAUAUACAGGUAGAUAGAUACAUAUAUUAUAAAUAUAUUGACAUAUGAACAUACUUAACUACAACGUAGCUGAUAUUCUAAAAAUAAAAUAUUGAAUUGUGAUUUUAUGUAUGUUUCUUUUUAGUAAACAAAGGGGAUUAAGGGAAAUAUAAAAAUUAAUGCAAUGGAAAAAAUAUAUUUGCCUGUGAUAGUACUAAAAUUUGUUACUUGAUAUUUCAAUUAAACUUAAAAAUGUAAAAAGACAAAACAAGGAAGCAACAAAGAGAUUUGCAGCACAGCAAAAAUGGCCACCAAGAGAUCAUAUUUGUCUUCUCUUCAACUGGCUUGGUCUGACGGUACUUCAAAAUUGUACUGGGGAUUCUGGAACCAUUUUUUAUAAAGGUAAAAGUUGGGUAACUUGACAUCCAAAAGGAAGUUAAUAUAAUAAUUGGUUUUACAUGUGAAUAUAUCCUCAGUUUCAUCAUAUUUACUAAAGGAGAGAGAAAAACUUGACUUAUAAAUGUGGCUCCCCUUAUUUAAAAUUACUUAGCCUAUGGAAUAAAUAAAUUGUAGUGGACAGAAUCUAAGGUUGCACUCUUGGUCCCUGACUCCUGGUGUUUCUAUCCUUACAUGACUCUCUCCCCUAGAGCAUGGGUGGGAAAUAUGACUUACUUCUAAGCUCUAGCAUAUGCAAAGGGGAUGAGAUAUAUAUGAUUACGUAUACAUGGUUACACGAUUGUGUAACAUAAGAUGAAGUGCCGUCUUGCUGGAGUCUCUCACCCUCUUGUUGACUACGAAGAUGGAAAUUGCCAUGUGAUGGUCUGCCUAUGUUGGGAGACCCGCAGAGGAAAGAACUGAGAGAGCCUACAAGCUGAUGGUGGCCUCUGUCAAAACAGUCAGCAGGAAACAAAGCCCUCAGUCCUGCAGCUGCCAUCUUCGACUAUGCGUUCCAUUUAACAUGAGUGGAACUGAUAUUUUUAUAAAAUAAGAACUGAAAUACAUGUUUCUGUGUAAAUCUCCUCUUAUAAAUAAAAUGAAGUAGUGGAAGGAUAUUCGAAGGUAGUGGUGCCAAAAAGUGGUGCCAAUAUGAAAGGACAAAUUGUAAGGGAACAGAAAUCUCUUUCAGUGGAUAAAAGAAUAAUACAAUUAUAAAUGUGAUCAAUUAACAGAUUAAGCUGAUAAUGGAAUAAUAUGCAAGAGGGUACUAAUAGUAAAAUUAGGAUUGUACCCCAUCAUUACAUGGACCCAAACUAACUCUAUCAGUGUGCUUCAGGAUGAGAAUUCUGCCAUCUUCCGUCUGCCUUGCUUAUUUAGGAACCAAUUUAACUCAGUCUAGUAUUAGGCAUUGGAGAUUGAGGUUUGGAAAUAAGUUGUUGGUGUUCUAUAGCCAAGGGCUAAAUCUUUUGAAAUUUUUUGGAUGCCAGCAAUGCUAUUGCAUGGUUGGCUCUUUAAAUACUACCUGUGGAGGCCAGUUUGCUUGACUUUAUUGGACCUGGGUCUGUGGAGUAACUGGGGCUUCAUAACUCUGUUCUGUGUCUCUAACACCUGCUUUUGAAGAGUGCAGAAAAGUGUAGAUCUCCCUGUUCUAAACUUCAGUUGGAAAACCAGUGUGCCUGUUUACUUUUCUCUUUAUUUCAACCCUUGCUAAGGGUUCCAUGGCUGCUGGUCACCCUGAUUGAUGCCAUCCUGUAAUUGGAAUGACUUUUUAAUACCUAUAUAGAAUUGGUUUCUAGUACCCCUCCACCACCCUAGUUCUUCCUCAGUUUUAUAGUAGCUUCUCCCCAGAAGUCUGCUUUCUCUGUCUUAGAUCAUGUUCCUUUUUCUUCCAUAUAUCUUGUAGCCAGUGCUGUGUGGUAUGUUCUUUCUUCAUCAUGGAAUUCAGUAUGAGGGACACAUCUUUUGGAUCAUCAAAAUGCAAUGAAGGACUUAUAACAAAUGUUUUAUUUUAUGGAGACUUUUUUUGCCCCUUGGAUUAUGAAUCCAGUGACUGAAAUGUGAAAAUCAGUGAACCUUGCACUUGAAAUAAUAUAUGCUCUAAUAACUUUCCCAAAUAAAUUUAAACUGGUUCCUCUGAAAGUAUUCUUAUACUAUAGUAUUUUCCUCUUAAAACCUUUAAUAAUUACACAUAGCCUAUUGCUGAAAUAGGAUGUAAACUUUGUAUCUAAUGUUUUGCUUCUGUUAUUUUCUGGAAUACUCUUUCCCCAUUCUUAUGGCUGCCCCAAAACAUACACAUAUAGACUUUCUCCCUCUCUUCUGUUUCCUGAGGUGCCACCCAUUCCUUAAGUCCUGUUUCAUUUUCCAAUUUCACCAUGAAGCCUUUCCUGAUUUACUUAAGUACAUAUUCUGUUUUUCU